rnacentral:misc_RNA from 1 species
UGCAUCGAGAAGACCCGAGAGGCCCUACUGAUGCGUUUGAGGAGAGCGAGAGGCCAAUCUGUAGGCCUCCCGCAGCGCUCCCACAUCCAAGUCCCCAAAAGCCGCGAAGGGCGAAGGGGGCCUUGAGGAUUCAAUGACACUCAAACAGGCAUGCUCUUUGGAAUGGCCAAAAAGCGCAAGGUGCGUUCAAAGAUUCGAUGAUUCACUGAAUUCUGCAAUUCACAUUACUUAUCGCAUUUCGCUGCGUUCUUCAUCGAGCUUACGUGCACUU